UUAUGAAGAGAAUCAAAGAGAUAUGUAAAGAAAAAAGAGAAUUAAAGAUGCAUGAUUAGUGAUGAUGUAAUAGGAAAAGAAGUGAGAGAUGUGCUCGAGCAUGCGAAGGAGAUGAAUCUUCCUCCGGAGACUCUAGUGUUGUAGCAAAUUUUAGAAUUAUUGUCUCGAAGUUGGGGGAUGAACGUAGUUUAGAUUCCUCGUGGUGGAAAUGGUGUAGUGAAUUGGUUGCUAGGAAAGGAGCUUAUAGUCCACCGACAACCAUCAGGGUGGUUGAUAGACCUGAUGCAGAGUUGGAAACAAUUCUGUUGAAAGGCUCAUUAUCAGUUCUUUAAUGUGUUCGUUUCUUGUUAGUUUUCUCAAGGGAAAAAAAAACUUCAGUCCUAAAAAUUAUUUUUUUACUGUUCUAAAUUAUGUUCAAUAACAUAAAAAAAAUGCAUUAGUUAGAGGCAAUAUUUUGCAUCCGUUGAACGUUGAAACAAUACAACUACAUGCGUGACUGUAAUGUCACGGAUAUUGUUAUCAUCACUGCUUCGGAGCUGCGCCACCCAUUGCGCCGCCGCACAAUGCCACGCCCAAAGCGUGCUCCAAGCUCUACUCCCCAAUGUCACUCUCGAAACCGACCUCUUACUAGCCUACUCCAGGUUGGGCCUUCUGGGCCACGCUCGCAAACUGUUCGACAAAAUGCCUGAAAGAAACAUGCACUCCUGGAACAUCAUGAUCGCUUCCUACGCCCAAAGUUCCAUGUAUUCUGAUGCAUUAACGGUUUUUCGCGCGUUCAGGCGCUGUGGCCUGAGACCCGACCAUUACACAUUGCCGCCGUUGUUCAAAGCUUCUUUGGGAGCUGGUGAAGAUUGUGUGGGAACCGUGUGUCAUUGUUUGGUGAUCAAGCUCGGGUACGAGAGAUACGUUGUUGUAACUAACUCUGUGCUGGAGUUUUACCUCAAAUGUGGGACCAUGUCUCAGGCUUUGUGCCUGUUUCCCAAAGAUAAUGCUGAAAGGGAUUCAGUGACAUGGAAUUUGAUGAUCUCGGGGUUUGGAAGGGCAGGUUUGUAUGCAGAUGCUGUGCAUUGUUUCAGAGAAAUGUUGCAGCAUCAGAAUCGGAUGAAGGUGGAUUAUAUGACACUUCCUAGCAUUUUGAGUGCUUGUGGAAGGGAAGGGGAUUUGUUGAAAGUAAAGGAAGUGCAUGGCUUUGUUGUGAGGAGCUUUGGUUUUGAUGCUGAUGCUCCCACUGGGAAUGCGUUGAUUGAUAGUUAUGGCAAGUGUGGAUGUUUGAAUUAUGUGGAGAAGGUUUUCAGGACCAUGGGACAAGUGAAUUUGGUGACGUGGACAACUAUGAUAUCUUGUUAUGGAAUGCAUGGAAAGGGAGAUGAAUCAGUUUUGCUGUUUGAGAAGAUGGUGGAUGAAGGGUUUAGACCGAAUGCUGUUACAAUAACGGCAAUCUUAGCCAGUUGUAGCCACUCUGGUCUGAUAGAUCAAGGCAAGAAGAUUUUCAGCUCUAUGAAUUCAGAUUAUGGAUUUGAGCCCACUGCUGAGCAUUAUGCUUGUAUGGUGGAUCUUUUUGGCCGCUGUGGGUGUCUUGAGGAAGCUCUUCGGUUGUUGGAAAGAAUGAAGUCAUCAUCAGUGACAGGAAGCAUGUGGGGCGCCCUUCUUGCUGGCUGUGUGAUGCACAAAAAUGUUGAAAUUGGAGAAGUUGCGGCUCGUCAUCUUUUUCAGUUAGAACCGAAUAAUCCUAGCAACUAUGUUGCUUUGUGUGGUAUCUAUCAAUCUCGUGGUAUGGUUGAUGGCUUUUCAUCUGUUAGAUCAAAGAUGAGGGGUUUAGGCUUAAUUAAAACUCCUGGUUGUAGCUGGAUCAAUAUUGCAGGAAGGGCUCAUAAAUUCUACCAAGGAGAUCUUUCGCAUCCACUUGCUCAUAUGAUUUUCAAGAUAAUAUAUGAAAUUAGCAACAUUCAGUUAAUGACUAAUGGUUUGGGACUAGGAAAUCUGCUACAUGAUGAUGAUACCAUGUUCGUGGGUUUGUAGAGCAUUUUAUCCAGUUCAUCUGAUUAGAGCCAGGCAGGGAUCGCCAUUAAAGGUGUCAAGACUUGAGGCUCUUUCAUCUCGAAGCUUAUAAAUGAUUUCACCUGAAAUUGUUAUCAUUUAAUUUCAGUGCAUGCCAUUACAUAGAAGUGCUCGAAAAUUGUAGAUGUUGGAAGGUGAAGAUGACCGUUUUAAAUUGUCUGUUUAUAAUAAGGAUUUCCUCAUAAUACAACUGACUUCGUAGCAGUACUGAAACUUCUCUCUUUCCAAGUGUUUGGGACUUGAGUUUUUAUUGAAGAAUUUUUAUGGCAAGUUGGAUCCUAAUUCCACUGAUGAUCAUCUGAGGAAAAAUUUUACUGUAUGGAGAAUAGGUUAGUGUGAAGAUUCUAGCAGGCAACAAUGUGGAUUGUCCAAUUUGCAAACAGGAACCACUCUCAAUAUUGUGCCUUGAUUUUUCAUGCAUCAGGAGCUUGCACAGAAGAGGCAUUGUAAAUUUUAAAUGGAAUGCAGUUGGGAGGACAAUUUUUUCCCGUCUUUCAUGGGGCCGCAGUCCUUCAAACAAACACUUAAUUUAUAUCUACUAAUUGUUGUAAUGUAACUCUGUACUGACUUGCCAUUGUCUUUCCGAUUCUCUUCCAUGACUGCAUGCUGUGUUUCUCAGGCUCUGAUAGAUUCAAACCAGAGAAUGGUGCUGGUGGAUAUUAUGGAUAUCCUCAAGGUGUGAAAAUUAUGGGGUAUGCAAGUAACCAACCACCAUAGAAACAGCAGCAAAUAUAAUGUAGCUGAAUCUCACUGCUCAUAUUUCUGUUCUUUUGUAAUCGUAUGAACAUUGAAAUUGAAAUUUCAUGGGAAACACCUUUUGUAUACAUAAAAUAUAACUUGCUGAAUACUUAUUUGAUAUUAUAAGAGGAUAUAAAAAAAUAGUUAGUUAGCUUGUUAUAGGGUGGUUACAACUUACAAUUCUGUGACUUAGCUAGCUUUCUUAAUCAAUUUUCCUUAUGGCAACUCAUAUAUAUAUACAUGACCUACUUGUAUUGUUCA